GAGCAAUGAGCUUUUUGCUCUAUUCUUGGAUGAUACCAUGAGUUAUUCCACUGCGGUAUUCAAGUCAGACGAUGAGGAUCUGAAAACUGCACAGAUGAGGAAAAUAAACCUUUUAAUUGAUAAGGCUAGAAUAGAAAAGAACC